UCGAGGGGUAACAGGAGUAGCUUGCUAUUUGCUGACGACCGGCGCACGGGUGCGUAACGCGUAUAGAAUCUACCUUAUACUGGGGGAUAGCCUUUGGAAACGAAGAUUAAUACCCCAUAGUAUUAUUUUUUGGCAUCAUUAAAUAAUUAAAGUUUCGGCGGUAUAAGAUGACUAUGCGUUCUAUUAGUUAGUUGGUAAGGUAACGGCUUACCAAGACUUCGAUAGAUAGGGGUCCUGAGAGGGAGAUCCCCCACACUGGUACUGAGACACGGACCAGACUCCUACGGGAGGCAGCAGUGAGGAAUAUUGGACAAUGGAGGCAACUCUGAUCCAGCCAUGCCGCGUGUAGGAAGACUGCCCUAUGGGUUGUAAACUACUUUUAUAUGGGAAGAAUAAGAUCUACGUGUAGAUUGAUGACGGUACCAUAAGAAUAAGCACCGGCUAACUCCGUGCCAGCAGCCGCGGUAAUACGGAGGGUGCAAGCGUUAUCCGGAAUCAUUGGGUUUAAAGGGUCCGUAGGCGGGCAUAUAAGUCAGUGGUGAAAGUCUGUGGCUUAACCAUAGAAUUGCCAUUGAUACUGUAUGUCUUGAAUUAUUGUGAAGUGGUUAGAAUAUGUAGUGUAGCGGUGAAAUGCUUAGAGAUUACAUAGAAUACCGAUUGCGAAGGCAGAUCACUAACAAUAUAUUGACGCUGAUGGACGAAAGCGUAGGUAGCGAACAGGAUUAGAUACCCUGGUAGUCUACGCCGUAAACGAUGGAUACUAGUUGUUUGGUUUUCGGACUGAGUGACUAAGCGAAAGUGAUAAGUAUCCCACCUGGGGAGUACGUUCGCAAGAAUGAAACUCAAAGGAAUUGACGGGGGCCCGCACAAGCGGUGGAGCAUGUGGUUUAAUUCGAUGAUACGCGAGGAACCUUACCAGGGCUUAAAUGUAGUCUGACAGCUUUAGAGAUAGAGUUUUCUUCGGACAGAUUACAAGGUGCUGCAUGGUUGUCGUCAGCUCGUGCCGUGAGGUGUCAGGUUAAGUCCUAUAACGAGCGCAACCCCUGUGGUUAGUUGCCAGCGAGUAAUGUCGGGAACUCUAGCCAGACUGCCGGUGCAAACCGUGAGGAAGGUGGGGAUGACGUCAAAUCAUCACGGCCCUUACGUCCUGGGCCACACACGUGCUACAAUGGUAGGGACAGAGAGCAGCCACUUAGCGAUAAGGAGCGAAUCUAUAAACCCUAUCUCAGUUCGGAUUGGAGUCUGCAACUCGACUCCAUGAAGCUGGAAUCGCUAGUAAUCGGAUAUCAGCCAUGAUCCGGUGAAUACGUUCCCGGGCCUUGUACACACCGCCCGUCAAGCCAUGGAAGCUGGGGGUACCUGAAGUCCGUCACCGUAAGGAGC
rnacentral:rRNA from 1 species